rnacentral:rRNA from 1 species
GAUGAACGCUAGCUACAGGCUUAACACAUGCAAGUCGAGGGGUAACGAGAGGGAAGCUUGCUUUCCUUGUCGACGACCGGCGCGCGGGUGAGUAACGCGUAUCCAACCUGCCCCCAACUAGGGAAUAACCUUGCGAAAGUAAGACUAAUACCCUAUAAUUUCCUCAGAUGUCAUCUGACGAGGAAUAAAGAUUUAUCGGUUGUGGAUGGGGAUGCGUCUGAUUAGCUUGUUGGCGGGGUAACGGCCCACCAAGGCAACGAUCAGUAGGGGUUAUGAGAGGAAGGUCCCCCACAAUGGAACUGAGACACGGUCCAAACUCCUACGGGAGGCAGCAGUGGGGAAUAUUGGUCAAUGGGCGGAAGCCUGAACCAGCCAAGUAGCGUGCAGGAUGACGGCCCUAUGGGUUGUAAACUGCUUUUAUACAGGAAUAAAGUUAGCCACGUGUGGUUAUUUGUAGGUACUGUAUGAAUAAGGACCGGCUAAUUCCGUGCCAGCCGCCGCGGUAA